rnacentral:piRNA from 1 species
UCAGCUAUUCCUACAAGCCUCCUCCCUAAG